rnacentral:rRNA from 1 species
UACGUAGGGUGCAAGCGUUAAUCGGAAUUACUGGGCGUAAAGCGUGCGCAGGCGGUGAUGUAAGACAGGUGUGAAAUCCCCGGGCUUAACCCGGAAAGGUCAGCCGAUACUGCGGGGCUAGAGUGCAGAAGGGGCAACUGGAAUUCUCGGUGUAGCGGUGAAAUGCGUAGAUAUCGAGAGGAACACCUGCGGCGAAGGCGGGUUGCUGGGCUGACACUGACGCUGAGGCGCGAAAGCUAGGGGAGCGAACGGG